AUUGAACGCUAGCGGGAUGCUUUACACAUGCAAGUCGAACGAGUGGCGGACGGGUGAGUAAUAUAUCGGAACGUGCCCGGUAGCGGGGGAUAACUACUCGAAAGAGGGCUAAUACCGCAUACCAUCGGAGCGGCCCAGAUCGGAUUAGCUAGUUGGUGGGGUAAUGGCUCACCAAGGCAACGAUCCGUAGCUGGUUUGAGAGGACGACCAGCCACACUGGAACUGAGACACGGCCCAGACUCCUACGGGAGGCAGCAGUGGGGAAUUUUGGACAAUGGGGGAAAGCCUGAUCCAGCCAUCCCGCGUGUAUGAUGAAGGCCCUAGGGUUGUAAAGUACUUUCAGUCGGGAGGCGUUACCGGCAGAAGAAGCACCGGCUAACUACGUGCCAGCAGCCGCGGUAAUUC
rnacentral:rRNA from 1 species